GGGAGUAAAAGUCGUAACAAGGUUUCCGUAGGUGAACCUGCGGAAGGAUCAUUAUUGUAUAACCGAGGUGCGAGGGCUGUCGCUGACCCGAAAGGUCGUGCACGCCCGAGUGCCCUCACACACAUCCAUCUCACCCCUAUGUGCACCACCGCGUGGGUCCCCCUUUGGCUUGUUCGGAGGGGGGCUUACGUUUUCACACAAACUUUGUAUGCAGUGUAGAAUGUAUUUUUUGUUUUUGCGAUCACGCAAUCAAUACAACUUUCAACAACGGAUCUCUUGGCUCUU
rnacentral:misc_RNA from 1 species